GAUAUUCAGACAGAUGUGUUUCACCAUUGUAAAGAGUCUGUCUGACCUCUUGCAGUUGUGUCCCUCGGGUUUGCAGAAGAACAAAACUUGGAAGAGGACCCGUUUACCUUUGACUACCACAGGCUGCGUGUUGGAGGCCUGAUUCUAGCUGCUGUCCUCUGUCUCAUUGGCAUCACCAUCCUGUUCA